rnacentral:pre_miRNA from 1 species
CUCUUCUUUGCCUGUUUUGGCACUAGCACAUUUUUGCUUUUUUAUAUAUACGCUGAGCAAUCAUGUGUAGUGCCAAUAUGGGACAAGACAGAAAU